AUAUAUACACAGACAACAAUCUCUCUCACACACACACACAAACACCUGACUCUGCUUUUCUUUUCUUUCGCCUUUCACUGUCCUAGGGUUUCUCGUUUUUCUCAAUUCUCUCGUUUUGGCAGUGUUUUCCAGAAUGAUCAGAGUUCCCAGUCGUCGUAGCUCGCCGUCUUCGACGAGUUCGCGGCGAAGCACGAGCUCUGAUUCCUACGGUUGGGACCGGGCCUCGUACCAAUCGCGGAGCAGUUCCGGCGACGUUCAGCCGGACCCGCUUCUCAAGCCCAUUAAUUUCGUGAUUCAGCUCCUUUGCGAAGAGCAGGAGUUGACGAGAGACGACGUGGACGAAUUGAUUGAGAGAAUAAAGUGCGCGACAGAGAAUUUCACUGUUAUGGAUAGGAAGAACAGGAAUAUUGUGAGUGUGUUUUGUAAUGAGUGGAUCGAUGCGACGGAGGCGUUUGUCGUUUUGUGGAAAAUUCGGUUCGAAGGUACUUAUUUGUAUGUGCCAAAACUGAUUUGUAAUGAUUAUGUGCCUAGGGAGACCAUGGAAGAGCUUAAUGACAAACUUAAAGCGAUUUUUAUUGAGCGCUGUAAUUGGCUUUCCGAGAGUGAUAUGGUUAAGGAUUGCCAAAUGAAGAAUAGAGAGGUUGUUAGUGAGAUACUUAAGAUUAAUGCGAUGUUGGCCAAGCCGCAGCAUUAUACUGUUUGUAGUGAGAUGACGGACAGGAAGAAGCGGCUUGUGAAGGAGAGGGAUUAUUAUGGUAAGAGGGCUAGGGAGUUUCAGCUAGGCAUGAAGUCUAUAAUUGGUUAUCUUCAGGGGAAGCAGGGGAAGGAUAUUCUUGGAGAGGAGAAGGUCAAUGUGUUUGAUUUGAAGGGAGAGAUUGAUUGGUGUAAGAUUGGUAAGUUGAUUGCGAGGGAAUGUAGGCGGCUUGAGGGUUGCUUGCCUGUUUAUUCUGCUCGUCAAGAUGUAUUAAGGCAUUUAACCCGCGAACAGGUACUUGUAUUUAUUGGAGAGACCGGUUCUGGCAAGAGCACGCAGUUAGUUCAGUUUCUUGCAGAUGCAGGAUUAAAUAGCAGUGGCUCUAUCGUCUGCACUCAACCGCGGAAGCUUGCUGCAAUGUCUUUGGCACGGAGAGUUGAAGAGGAAUGUCAUGGGUGCUAUCAGGAUGGCUCCAUUGUAUAUUGCCCAGCAUAUUCUUCCUUUCAAAAAUAUGGUUCGCAUGUAAUAUAUACGACAGAUAAUUGCUUGCUGCAACAUUACUUGAAUGAUAAGAACCUAUCUAGGAUAUCAUGUAUUAUAGUUGAUGAGGCACAUGAAAGGAGCUUAAACACAGACCUCCUAUUAGGAUUGCUGAAGAAGUUACUGCAUCGGAGGCCUGACUUAAGGCUGAUAAUUACGUCAGCGACAAUUGAUGCAAACCGGCUUGCAGAAUACUUUUUCAAUUGCAAGAUUAUACAUGUGGCGGGUAGAAAUUUUCCAGUUGAGAUUCGAUAUGUCCCUUAUUUGACCGAAGGCACUUCUGCCAUCGGAACUUUUGCUUCAUAUGUUUUUGAUGUUUUGAGGAUGGUGACGGAGAUCCAUAGUUCAGAAGGAGAAGGAGCCAUUCUUGCCUUUCUGACGUCUCAAAUUGAAGUUGAAUGGGCUUGUGAGAACUUUGUCUCUCCGUCUGCUAUUGUAUUUGCUUUACAUGGAAAGCUUACAUUUGAAGAUCAAGCUCGCGUUUUCCAUGAUUACCCAGGAAGAAGAAAAAUUAUCUUUGCAACUAAUCUUGCUGAGACCUCCUUGACAAUACCAGGAGUCAAGUAUGUGGUUGAUUCUGGUAUGAUGAAAGAAUGUAGGUUUGAGCCUAGUACUGGCAUGAAUGUUCUUAAAGUAUGCAAAAUUAGCCAGAGCUCUGCAAGUCAACGGGCUGGUCGUGCAGGGAGAACAGAACCAGGCAGGUGCUAUAGACUCUACUCUGAAGAUGAAUUUCGCCUGAUGUCUGUUCAUCGGGAACCUGAGAUUUGUCGGGUUCAUCUUGGGAUUGCAGUUCUGCGGAUCCUUUCGUUGGGAAUCAGUAAUGUACGGAGUUUUGAGUUUGUGGAUGCGCCAAGUGCUACAGCUAUUGAUAUGGCUGUUCAAAAUCUUGUUCAGCUGGGAGCUGUCACAAGAAAAAAUGAUGUUUAUGAAUUGACAGGAGAUGGAUGGAAAUUUGUUAGACUUGGAAUUGAGCCUUGUCUGGGAAAACUAAUAUUAAGUUGCUUCCAAUAUCGAUUGGGUAGAGAGGGUCUUGUUCUGGCCGCUGUGAUGACAAAUUCUAGUAGCAUAUUUUGCAGAAUUGGUACUGAAGAAAACAAGUUGAAGUCUGAUCGCCUGAAGGUGCAGUUCUGCCAUUGUGACGGUGAUCUAUUUACCUUACUCUCUGUGUACAGGGAAUGGGAGAGUGUGGCUCAUGAAAAGAGGAAUAGUUGGUGUUGGGACAAUAGUAUAAAUGGGAGAUCCAUGAGGAGGUGUGCAGAAAUGGUGAAAGAACUAGAAAGUUGUCUUCUAAACGAACUUCAUAUUAUAGUGCCCACUUACUGGGCUUGGUCUCCACUAAAGAAGACUAGGCAUGAUUCCAAUUUAAAGAAAGCCAUACUUUCUUCCCUAUCGGAGAAUGUGGCUAUGUAUUCUGGAUAUGAUAAGCAUGGAUAUGAAGUAGCAUUGACUGGGAAUCAUGUCCAGCUGCAUCCGUCAUGUUCAUUACUUGCUUUCAGUGAGAGGCCAAGUUGGGUAGUUUUUGGUGAAAUCCUUUCUGUGAGUAACCAAUAUUUGGUGUGCGUAACUGCUAUUGAGAUUGAAUGUUUGGAUACUUUUUACCCUCCUCCUCCAUUUGAUAUAUCUGAGAUGAGCAGGCGGAAGCUGCAAGUAAGUGUUUUAAGGGGUUUUGGGAGUACGCUACUGAAAAAGUUAUGUGGCAAGUUUAAUAGUAAUCUGCUUAGCCUUGUUUCACGUAUAAAAAUUGCAUGCGGUAAUGAACGGAUUGUUGUUGAAGUUGAUAAAGAUUUGAAUGAAAUCCUCUUAUAUGCCUCUAUCCAAGACAUUGAGAAGGUUUAUAGCCUUGUUACUGAUGCAGUUCAAUAUGAAAGAAAUUGCUUACAGAAUGAAUGUGUGGAGAAGUGCUUGUACUUUGGAGGACGUGGCGUUUCAUCCCCUGUCGCUUUGUUCGGAGCUGGCGCUGAGAUAAAACAUCUAGAGCUUAACAAGAGACAUUUGAGUAUUGACGUUUUCUAUUCAAAUGCCAUCGAUAAUAAGCAGCUUGUAACAUUUCUGGAGGGGAGCACCUCAGGUAGUAUUUGUGCACUACAUAAUUUGACAGGCAGCGGAAAAGAUACCCAAGAGGAGGGGCAGUGGAGCAGAGCAACAUUUCUUUCACCCGAAGCAGCUGAAAAAGCUGUUCAGUUAGAUGGAGCUGACCUCGGGGAUAACUUGCUUAAGGUAGUUCCUGUACAGAGUACUUAUGGAGGUGAUCAUAAAUUGUUCUCAUUUCCAGCUGUGAAAGCUAAAGUUUACUGGCCACGUAGAGUUAGCAAGGGGUUUGCGGUCGUGAAAUGUGACAUACAAGAUGUUGCUGGCAUUACUGAGGAUUUCUCUAACUUGUUUAUUGGAGAGAAUUUUGUACAAUGUGAACCUAGUCUGAAGAGUAUUGACAGUGUUGUAGUACGUCGCCUUGGUAAGGAACUUUCUGAGAGUGAAAUACAUGAAAUUUUAAGUGCUGCUACAGACAGAAGAAUACUGGACUUUUUCCUGGUCAGGGGAGACCCUGUUGAAGAUCCUCCAUGCAUCACAUGUGAAGAAGCCCUUCUAAGAGAAAUUACUCCUUUCAUGCCCAAAAGGAACUCUCAUGUCAGUUCAGUCCACAUCCAGGUCUUUCCGCCAGAGCCCAAAGAUAUAUACACCAGAGCUCUGAUAACCUUUGACGGGAGUAUGCAUUUGGAGGCUGCGAAAGCAUUGGAGCAGCUUGAAGGGAAAGUGUUGCCUGGAUGCCGUCCAUGGCAGAAGAUACGGUGCCAACAGGUGUUUCAUAGUUAUGUCUCUUGCUCUCCAUCGGUUUAUUUCAUUAUAAAAGAGCAGCUGAACGAUUUACUAUCGAACCUCCGCCAAAGAAAAGGUGUACAAUGCCAUCUUGACAGAAAUGAGAAUGGUUCCUAUCGAGUAAAACUAUCUGCCAAUGCUACAAAAGUUGUGGCAGAGUUGAGGAGACCUCUGGAGCAGUUGAUGAGGGGAAAGAAGAUAGAUCAUCCUGACCUUAUUCCACCUGUUCUGCAGCUGCUUUUCUCCAGGGAAGGAAAAUCUAUUAUGAUGUCAAUUGAGCGAGAGACUGGGACAUAUAUUUUCUUUGACAGGCAGUGCCCUAGUAUAAGGGUCUUUGGUUGUUCAAACAAGAUCGAGUUAGCGGAGCAGAAACUGAUUCAGUCCCUUUCAACUCUACACAAGACCAAGCAACUUGAAGUCCAUCUUCGAGGUUGUGGUUUGCCUCCUGAUCUUAUGAAGAAUGUUGUAAACAAAUUUGGUCCUGAUCUACGCAGUCUCAAGGAAGCGGUUCCUGGUGCAGAAUUCACUCUCAAUACGCGGCACCAUACCAUCUCUAUUCAGGGAAGCAAGCAAGAUAAGCAAAUGGUUGAAGAAAUAAUACAUCAAAUUGCACAGACAAGCCCUCAAGUUAAAAUUGAGGAUGAAGCUUCUUGUCCUAUUUGCUUGUGUGAAGUUGAAGAUGGAUUCCGGUUGGAAGCAUGUGGACAUGAAUUUUGCAGAUCGUGCUUAGUUGAGCAGUGCGAGUCAGCCAUAAAAAGCCACGAUAGUUUCCCAAUGUAUUGCUCCUAUCAAGGCUGUUCUGCUCUGCUUCUAAUUGCUGACUUGAGGAUUCUUUUGUCAAAUGAGAAGUUAGAUGAACUUUUCAGGGCUUCUUUAGGUGCUUUCGUUGCAGCAAGUGGGGGUAAAUACAGGUAUUGCCCCUCUCCUGACUGUCCUUCAGUCUAUAGAGCAGUAUUGGAUCCUGAUUGUGAUGGCACGCCAUUUUUUUGUGGUGCCUGCUCUGUUGAAACAUGCACGAAGUGUCAUUUGGAGUACCAUCCAUAUCUCUCAUGUGAGAGGUAUAAGAUAUACAAGGAAGAUCCAGAUUCCUCAUUAAAGGAGUGGUGCAAGGGGAAGGAGAAUGUGAAGCCCUGUCCACUUUGUGGUUUUACAAUCGAAAAGGUCGAGGGAUGCAACCAUGUAGCAUGCAGGUGUGGGAGGCAUAUAUGUUGGGUCUGUCUGGAUUCUUUUAGCAGCAGCGAAGAUUGUUACAAUCAUCUGACGUCCAUUCACGAGGCAAUUAUUUAAAGACCCGGUCAGAUUGUUCGGGUGAUGUACAUGUACAUUCAACAUUAAUCAAAAGACUUACAUUCUGAACCCGAACUCGAAUUUAUCUGGCUGCAGUUUCUCCAUUGACUCCAACUUACCUCUAAAAGGAGGUGGUGCUCUGAAGGCUUAGCAAAUUAAGCCCAAGCAGAGAACAUUUCACAUGAAGGUCGAGAUCUUGUUCACAGUAUUGGAUAGACUACUGAAAUGUAAGUUUUUAAGAGAUGUGCAACAAGUGAUUUACCCCUCGAGUACUAAUCAAGUACCAAGUGAGAAACCCCCGAGUACCAAUCAAGUACUAAGUGAGAAUGAGUUUCUUAUUUCACACAAUAAAUUGUUAAUAGAAAUAUGAGUACGAGAUCCGAUUCCUGUUAAUCACGAAUCAAAAGCAUUCUAAACAUCAAAAGCCUUCUAAACAUAUUUCUCUUGUGAAUUCUGUGGUCAUGGGAUCCAUAAUGAACUGAACUGAACCGAAAUUCGAUUCCAUAUACUUUGGUCAACGGACGUGUAACAUCAGUCCGUGCAAUAUGUAACAAAGCUGAUCAUGUUUGCACAAAAUCUUUGCUA